rnacentral:rRNA from 1 species
GACAGAGGGUGCAAGCGUUAUCCGGAAUUAUUGGGCGUAAAGAGCUCGUAGGCGGUUUGUCGCGUCUGCCGUGAAAGUCCGGGGCUCAACUCCGGAUCUGCGGUGGGUACGGGCAGACUAGAGUGAUGUAGGGGAGACUGGAAUUCCUGGUGUAGCGGUGAAAUGCGCAGAUAUCAGGAGGAACACCGAUGGCGAAGGCAGGUCUCUGGGCAUUAACUGACGCUGAGGAGCGAAAGCAUGGGGAGCGAACAGG